GUUUGAUCCUGGCUCAGGAUGAACGCUAGCGACAGGCUUAACACAUGCAAGUCGAGGGGCAGCAUGAUUUGUAGCAAUACAGAUUGAUGGCGACCGGCGCACGGGUGAGUAACGCGUAUGCAACUUACCUAUCAGAGGGGGAUAGCCCGGCGAAAGUCGGAUUAAUACCCCAUAAAACAGGGGUCCCGCAUGGGAAUAUUUGUUAAAGAUUCAUCGCUGAUAGAUAGGCAUGCGUUCCAUUAGGCAGUUGGCGGGGUAACGGCCCACCAAACCGACGAUGGAUAGGGGUUCUGAGAGGAAGGUCCCCCACAUUGGUACUGAGACACGGACCAAACUCCUACGGGAGGCAGCAGUGAGGAAUAUUGGUCAAUGGCCGAGAGGCUGAACCAGCCAAGUCGCGUGAAGGAAGAAGGAUCUAUGGUUUGUAAACUUCUUUUAUAGGGGAAUAAAGUGGAGGACGUGUCCUUUUUUGUAUGUACCCUAUGAAUAAGCAUCGGCUAACUCCGUGCCAGCAGCCGCGGUAAUACGGAGGAUGCGAGCGUUAUCCGGAUUUAUUGGGUUUAAAGGGUGCGUAGGUGGUGAUUUAAGUCAGCGGUGAAAGUUUGUGGCUCAACCAUAAAAUUGCCGUUGAAACUGGGUUACUUGAGUGUGUUUGAGGUAGGCGGAAUGCGUGGUGUAGCGGUGAAAUGCAUAGAUAUCACGCAGAACUCCGAUUGCGAAGGCAGCUUACUAAACCAUAACUGACACUGAAGCACGAAAGCGUGGGGAUCAAACAGGAUUAGAUACCCUGGUAGUCCACGCAGUAAACGAUGAUUACUAGGAGUUUGCGAUACAAUGUAAGCUCUACAGCGAAAGCGUUAAGUAAUCCACCUGGGGAGUACGCCGGCAACGGUGAAACUCAAAGGAAUUGACGGGGGCCC
rnacentral:rRNA from 1 species